rnacentral:rRNA from 1 species
UACAGAGGGUGCGAGCGUUAAUCGGAAUUACUGGGCGUAAAGCGUGCGUAGACGGUUCUUUAAGUCGGGUGUGAAAGCCCCGGGCUCAACCUGGGAAUUGCAUUCGAGACUGAAUAGCUAGGGUACGGUAGAGGGAAGUGGAAUUUCCGGUGUAGCGGUGAAAUGCGUAGAUAUCGGAAGGAACAUCAGUGGCGAAAGCGACUUCCUGGACCAGUACCGACGUUCAGGCACGAAAGCGUGGGGAGCAAACAGG